rnacentral:misc_RNA from 1 species
CUCUCACGUUUGCUUUCUUAUAAUACCUCUCUCUCUUUCCUCUCUCCUUGCUCUUACCCAUCUUUCGCUCUCAGUCUCUCUCAAACCCAAAUACAAACCAAAAGAGAGGGACUUCUAUUCCUUCACUACAAAACUCAUCCCCCAAGAGCCACCAAACCCUAAUUCUGUCUACCAUGGACGAUUCAACUCAGCAACUUCAACAGGCUCAACUCGCCGCCAUACUUGGCCAGGACCCUGCCCCUUUUGAAACCCUAAUCUCUUCUCUCAUGUCUUCCUCCAACGAACAACGAUCGCAGGCUGAGCUUGCGUUUAACCUCUGCAAGCAGACCGAUCCCGAUUCUCUUUCCC